GUUUAACUGACUUGAAUGGAGCUAUGGCAGCUUAUACCAGCUGAAGAUCUGCUCCUAGAUGUCCAUAAUGGAGCACAUGGAGGGAUGGCUGCAUGUGUCAAAAUAAUGCGGAGCAAAGUUUUAUAUCCAGGGGUUCGACUGCUGAGGUAACUGAGCUUCACAAAGCUAGACGGAAUUGGGAUUUCCUCCUGGACCACCUAGAAGAACCCAACAGUUGUACACACUGUUAUUAAUGAUAUUCAUGCCUAGGAAAAGGGCAACGUUUUGUAUUUCAAAUCAUGAUGUUUUCUAAGAAACCUAGGCACCGCCUCUGCCAGGCACAUUGUGGUCAGGAAAAAUGCAAAAUCUUCAGCAUCAUCCAAAGCAGUGCAGUGUCUGAAAGAUCACACAGGUGGAAAACAGGAUCCUCCAAAUGUUGUCAGAGGUGAAGGGAGUACAACUGGAUUUGGGCUGAUAAAGCUAGUGAUGUCACAAGAUGGUGGGUUCGACUCUGUUCUUUGCAUGACAACUUUUUCUACUACAAUAAACCUAUUCCAAGGCAACCAAAGUGCCCUUUUCUCAGAAAUGAAAGGAGAUCUGUCAAAGACCAGGGUGACAGAGAUACCUCCAAUAGCCACAAGGUCAAAACUGAAGAGACAAAACAAAACACAUUGUCUUAUACUGUUUCCUUUACAACAGUAACACAGCUUGCAACAAAUGACUACCAAAAAUCCCACAUGGAACCCCAUUAUAACUAUUAAUUUGCUAUGUGAAACAACUCCAAUAUUAUCUUUCUAUUUCCAACUGUGAGGCCAGGUAGUGCUUUCGCUCUAUGCCUACUCCAAGCAUUCAUCACAUGUAAGGUGAGAUACUUCACUGCAAUUUGUCCACUCUUCCUCUGGUGUUUACCUACUAAAAGCACUCACAGUUAACAACUGUGUGGAACCAAUCACUCCUGGCCUGUAUGUGAAGAAACUCCUAAACCAUAAAAUGACUGCUACUCAGAUUGUGUGUGUGCCCAGCAUGUGACGUAGCUGACUUGGGGCCUCACAAUCGCCUCAUUCUCCAAAAUGCCCAUUUUUCCUGUUCUGCGAGUAGUAAGAUGAAGAGUUGGAGUAAACUCAAGAAACAUGUGGGGUUGCAGCCCUACUGUUCAGUGUGUGGACAUUUUGGGAAAGCUUCCCAUUAAUUUCAGUGAGAACUGAAUCAGCUCCUGGAUGUGGUGCAAUGGCAGGCUACUACAAGAUAUACUCAAGGAGCAACUGUGAAUAACUCUGUGCAGAUUUGCACCCUAAGAUGGCGUGAGACAGAAAGCAAGGUACAUAGUGUCUCAGUUUUCCAAGAUUCUGACAUCUACAGCCAGGUCAUAUAAGCCACUUUGAAACAUCAGGAUCAAAUAAAGCAGUUGAAAAAAAGCAGCUAAAAAAAGUUGCAGUCCACCUCUACCCACUUAAAAGUGCAGUUUUAGUUUGUUCAGUAUUAUGGCAGUGCACAUCUUUGUAUAAGACAACACUUAAUAUUUUCAU